AAAUGAAGAACGUAUGAGGUCAAAAUGCCAUCUCUGAAGGACUCUCAGAAAUUCAAAUGCAAAGUGAUGACAAAAAAUCAAUGUCAUGAUUUUUGAGCAAUAUCAUGAUAAGUUGAAGAUGGAUAAAUUCAUCCAUUUCAGGCCAAUCAGGAGGAAGAAACAAGGGUAAAAACACAAGAUAUUCCUAAUGUUAUGUUAAAGAGAAGAUUUCCACACUGGAUGUCAAAGGAUAAUAUUUUGGACAUAUAUCAACUAAAAAAUCAAAUGUAGUCUGAAGCAUUUUGAGAAUGAGUCUGCCAGUACUGCUGAUGUUAUGGUAAGUCCAUAAAUAUUUUAUAUACCUGAAAACAUCACGUCUUCUGCUUCUUUUGCAUUAGGUAUACAAA
rnacentral:lncRNA from 1 species